UAAAUUUAGAAUUUAUUUUAAACUUAAGAUUUAAGAUGAUUCACGCCGGAUUGAGAAAAAGAGUUUAUUUUAAUUCUAACAAAAGUGUUUAAAAAAAAAAACACAUUUAUAAAUUUAGUUAUUAAAUUUAUGUGCGUCGCAUAUUUAUUUAAUUUAGCAUUCAAAGCAUUUUUUUUACGAGCUUUUAUUUAAGCAAACACUGAACGAUUAUUACAGUUUUCAUAGUACAACCUGGAAGACUUUUUAUUUUAUUUUAUCUUAUUUUAUUUCAUUUUUAUUCCUACACCUACUCCCACCACUAACUCCUCUACUGCACAUCACCAACUUCCCUACUGCAAUACACCCACUACAUCUACUCCUUUACAGGCAAUCAAGCCAUGCCUUUACAGUCAGACUCCUCAUCUGCAAUACAACUAUACAUCAACCAAGUUUCUGCCUUUUUCCAUUAGGCACAAAUUAAUUGAUCACUCACCACAUAUCACUUCGCAAGAAAGAAACUCAAAUUCAUAAGUCUAUACAAAAUAUAUAUUCCAAGCUCAUCUCCUUCAACAAUUCAGCAGCAGCAGCAAACGAUCAGCCCUCUCAUUCAAGGUUGAGCAGUUGAUGGAAUGGAAUGAUGUUGAGCGGGUGUUCCUUUGACAUUUCAAGAAAUGUAACCUUGAGUAUACAUCUUCAUAUGUAUAUCUCACACGUUUUCCGCUGCAAAACACUUUGAUUAGGAUAACUCUAUGUUAUGAAGUUGUUACACGUGUUAUUGGGUAAACCACCUUAAUCAGUUCUCUUUUAUGUGUUUGUUUUAUAAGUAUCCAAAUGAUCAUAUAUGAUCCUAGUUUUUUUAUCUAUAAGUGAUAUUUUCAUAUACUUUAAUGUUAAGUAAUUGUCCAUUUCCA